AACGAACGCUGGCGGCAUGCCUAACACAUGCAAGUCGAACGAGACCUUCGGGUCUAGUGGCGCACGGGUGCGUAACGCGUGGGAACCUGCCUUUAGGUUCGGAAUAACUCAGAGAAAUUUGAGCUAAUACCGGAUGAUGUCUUCGGACCAAAGAUUUAUCGCCUUUAGAUGGGCCCGCGUUGGAUUAGCUAGUUGGUGGGGUAAAGGCCUACCAAGGCGACGAUCCAUAGCUGGUCUGAGAGGAUGAUCAGCCACACUGGGACUGAGACACGGCCCAGACUCCUACGGGAGGCAGCAGUGGGGAAUAUUGGACAAUGGGCGAAAGCCUGAUCCAGCCAUGCCGCGUGAGUGAUGAAGGCCUUAGGGUUGUAAAGCUCUUUUACCCGAGAUGAUAAUGACAGUAUCGGGAGAAUAAGCUCCGGCUAACUCCGUG
rnacentral:rRNA from 1 species